rnacentral:rRNA from 1 species
CAGUCGCCGCGGGAAUACGAAGGGGGCUAGCGUUGUUCGGAUUUACUGGGCGUAAAGGGCGCGUAGGUGGUUAUUUAAGUGAGAUGUGAAAGCCCCGGGCUUAACCUGGGAACUGCAUCUUAUACUGGGUAACUGGAGUGCAGUAGAGGGUAGUGGAAUUUCCGGUGUAGCGGUGAAAUGCGUAGAUAUCGGAAGGAACACCAGCGGCGAAGGCGGCUACCUGGACUGAGACUGACACUGAGGCGCGAGAGCGUGGGGAGCAAACAGGAUUAGAUACCCGAGUAGUCCCUGUCUCUUAUAC